GGUGGCCCAGUGGUUAGAGUGUCCGCAUCGGAUGCGGGAAGUCUCUGGUUCGAGCCCCAGCUUAGUCA